UACGUAGGGUGCGAGCGUUAAUCGGAAUUACUGGGCGUAAAGCGUGCGCAGGCGGUUUUGUAAGCCAGAUGUGAAAUCCCCGGGCUUAACCUGGGAAUGGCAUUUGGGACUGCAAGGCUUGAGUGCGGCAGAGGAGACUGGAAUUCCUGGUGUAGCAGUGAAAUGCGUAGAUAUCAGGAGGAACACCGGUGGCGAAGGCGGGUCUCUGGGCCGAAUGACUGACGCUGGAGGAGCGAAAGCGUGGGGAGCGAACAGGA
rnacentral:rRNA from 1 species